rnacentral:rRNA from 1 species
GUGGGGAAUAUUGGGCAAUGGGCGAAAGCCUGACCCAGCAACGCCGCGUGAAGGAAGAAGGUCUUUGGAUCGUAAACUUCUAUCCUUGGUGAAGAUAAUGACGGUAGCCGAGAAGGAAGCCCCGGCUAACUACGUGCCAGCAGCCGCGGUAAUACGUAGGGGGCAAGCGUUGUCCGGAAUGAUUGGGCGUAAAGGGCGCGUAGGCGGCCUGGUAAGUCUGGAGUGAAAGUCCUGCUUUUAAGGUGGGAAUUGCUUUGGAUACUGUCGGGCUUGAGUGCAGGAGAGGUAAGUGGAAUUCCCGGUGUAGCGGUGAAAUGCGUAGAGAUCGGGAGGAACACCAGUGGCGAAGGCGACUUACUGGACUGUAACUGACGCUGAGGCGCGAAAGUGUGGGGAGCAAACAGGAUUAGAAACCCUAGUAGUCC